GCAUAAAAACGGAUGGUGUUUUAGGAGGAAACAGAUGUCAGCCAGUAAGACACUUAGAGCUCUCCAGGAAUCACUUGUGAAGCUGGUCUACUCUCACCCUUCAAGUUACCAUGUAUGUACGUAGUGACUACAUUAGACAGUGAACGUUUUUAUAAGGUCAGUGUUCUUACUUUUGAAUACCAUGUAAUUUCUCAAUUAAAAUUAUUAGAUUUAAUAAUAUGUUAAUACUUACCAAAUUUGAUAUCCCUAGAAGAAAGAAUUAUCCUAAUUAUUAGUUUAACUGUAAUUUGUAGUAAAGUGUACCUAUUAUGUGUUUAUGAGCCACUAAUAUGUGCCUUUCAGAUACCGUGAUUACCUAUGGGGGUCACACAAUUAACACACUAGACAAUCCCUUGGCUUAAUCACACUGCAUGUCUUUUCUCUAUGCUGCGUCGGUUGCUUUUUUUUCUUUUUCUUCUAGGAUUUGUUGACUGGUGACCUGAGCCAUUUUGUUCUGUCAACCAAUCAUUGGUUCUCUCGAAAAUUGGAGUCGUCAUUGCUGCCUCCUUUUACUGCCAGAUAAGUGCUUUGUCUGUGGAGUGCUAUUUCCAGAAAUCAAUGCGUUGCUGCAUGCGGGGAAGAAGCCAUGAUCCGUUACUCUGCACGUACAGUACACCUCAACAAUCACAUCGCCAGGGUGAUAUUUCAUUUUAAGGACCUAUACAGAUGGUCUCUUGUACAUGAUUGAAAACUGGAAUACCAAUUUCAGCUCAGGAAAAGGGAAAUGAUGAAUACCCAACUAAAUUGUCGCAUCAUGUAGGCUACCAAAUACGUUUGAUGUAUGUUGGGAAAUAACUGAUAAUGGUUCAUUCGAAAUAAUGCAGUAUAUAUGGAAAUUUAGUCUUGGAGUGUUGAUCUGCUGCCGAAGGGUUCUGUGCCUGUUUACUUAGAAAAAUCCAUAUAAUAAAAUGUAUGGAUAUGAUACUUUUAAAGAAAUGGUCAUGUUAAACCUCAAUCAGCUCCCCUCACAUCACUUAUAGCACUGGCUUUCUCCAUGUCGAAGAGAGUCAUGCGUAGGUGUGCAAUUUCUGGACCUGCUAUAGUUGCCCCUAAUCACAUCCACAUAGGCUGCUAUCUGUGUGUUUCUGUCUAAAUAAUCACUCCCCGAUACGGCCCUUGAGAUCAACGCUCUCAGGACCAAAUUUCAACCAUAAAGGUAUAGAGCUCCUUUAUUUUUUCAUAUAUUCAGCAUGGAGUAUCAUCUGUAGUUUGUUAGAUAUAGAUCUGACAUAGGGGUACCCAAAGGUCAAAAACCUUGCUGGAAUCUACGUAUAAGCGAAGCAGCUACAUAAAUGGUCGUAUAGUAAGUAGGUGUCAUAUAUACUAACAUUAGAUAAUAACUAUAAGCCACACCUCACAUUGUAUGACUCCUGGAUCUGUUUGGCUACAUGAAUGAAAAACCGACAUGUGAUGGACUUUUUUUUUUUUUUUAACAACCAACGCAUAUC